rnacentral:rRNA from 1 species
GAUGAACGCUGGCGGCGUGCCUAAUACAUGCAAGUCGAGCGAACAGACGAGGAGCUUGCUCCUCUGACGUUAGCGGCGGACGGGUGAGUAACACGUGGAUAACCUACCUAUAAGACUGGGAUAACUUCGGGAAACCGGAGCUAAUACCGGAUAAUAUAUUGAACCGCAUGGUUCAAUAGUGAAAGACGGUUUUGCUGUCACUUAUAGAUGGAUCCGCGCCGCAUUAGCUAGUUGGUAAGGUAACGGCUUACCAAGGCAACGAGGCGUAGCCGACCUGAGAGGGUGAUCGGCCACACUGGAACUGAGACACGGUCCAGACUCCUACGGGAGGCAGCAGUAGGGAAUCGGCCGCAGUGGGCGAAAGCCUGACGGAGCAACGCCGCGUGAGUGAUGAAGGUCUUCGGAUCGUAAAACUCUGUUAUUAGGGAAGAACAAAUGUGUAAGUAACUAUGCACGUCGUGACGGUACCUAAUCAGAAAGCCACGGCUAACUACGUG